AUUGAACGCUGGCGGCAUGCCUUACACAUGCAAGUCGAACGGUAACGGGCCUUCGGGUGCCGACGAGUGGCGAACGGGUGAGUAAUACAUCGGAACGUGCCCGAUCGUGGGGGAUAACGAGGCGAAAGCUUUGCUAAUACCGCAUACGAUCUACGGAUGAAAGCAGGGGACCGCAAGGCCUUGCGCGAACGGAGCGGCCGAUGGCAGAUUAGGUAGUUGGUGGGAUAAAAGCUUACCAAGCCGACGAUCCGUAGCUGGUCUGAGAGGAUGAUCAGCCACACUGGGACUGAGACACGGCCCAGACUCCUACGGGAGGCAGCAGUGGGGAAUUUUGGACAAUGGGCGCAAGCCUGAUCCAGCCAUGCCGCGUGCAGGAUGAAGGCCUUCGGGUUGUAAACUGCUUUUGUACGGAACGAAAAGCCUUCUUUUAAUACAGGAGGGUCAUGACGGUACCGUAAGAAUAAGCACCGGCUAACUACGUG
rnacentral:rRNA from 1 species